UACGUAGGGUGCAAGCGUUGUCCGGAAUUAUUGGGCGUAAAGAGCUCGUAGGCGGUCUGUCGCGUCGGCUGUGAAAACCCGGAGCUCAACUCCGGGCCUGCAGUCGAUACGGGCAGACUGGAGUUCGGCAGGGGAGACUGGAAUUCCUGGUGUAGCGGUGAAAUGCGUAGAUAUCAGGAGGAAUACCGAUGGCGAAGGCAGGUCUCUGGGCUGACACUGACGCUCAUGCACGAAAGCGUGGGGGAGCAAACAGG
rnacentral:rRNA from 1 species